rnacentral:rRNA from 1 species
CACGUGUAGCGGUGAAAUGCGUAGAGAUGUGGAGGAACACCAGUGGCGAAGGCGACUUUCUGGGCUGUAACUGACGCUGAGGCGCGAAAGCGUGGGGAGCAAACAGGAUUAGAUACCCUGGUAGUCCACGCCGUAAACGAUGAGUGCUAGGUGUUAGGGGUUUCGAUACCCUUGGUGCCGAAGUUAACACAGUAAGCACUCCGCCUGGGGAGUACGGUCGCAAGACUGAAACUCAAAGGAAUUGACGGGGACCCGCACAAGCAGUGGAGUAUGUGGUUUAAUUCGAAGCAACGCGAAGAACCUUACCAGGUCUUGACAUCCCCCUGAAUACGUUAGAGAUAGCGUAGGCCUUCGGGACAGGGGAGACAGGUGGUGCAUGGUUGUCGUCAGCUCGUGUCGUGAGAUGUUGGGUUAAGUCCCGCAACGAGCGCAACCCUUGACUUUAGUUGCCAGCAGGUCAGGCUGGGCACUCUAGAGUGACUGCCGGUGACAAACCGGAGGAAGGUGGGGAUGACGUCAAAUCAUCAUGCCCCUUAUGACCUGGGCUACACACGUACUACAAUGGCCGGUACAACGGGAAGCGAAACCGCGAGGUGGAGCCAAUCUUAUAAAGCCGGUCUCAGUUCGGAUUGCAGGCUGCAACUCGCCUGCAUGAAGUCGGAAUUGCUAGUAAUCGCGGAUCAGCAUGCCGCGGUGAAUACGUCCCCGGGUCUUGUACACACCGCCCGUCACACCACGAGAGUUUACAACACCCGAAGUCGGUGGGGUAACCCGCAAGGGAGCCAGCCGCCGAAAGGUGGGAAAAUAAUUG